UUGAGAAGAGAUCCUAAGGUUGGAGGUGGUGUCGGUAGAACUCGAGAAGUUGCCAAGAACCGAACCCAACACUCAUCAAGAUAUGGAGUAAAUAGACGAAUGGAGUAUGCUAGUUCGGGAGCUUUAGGAGCUUUAGACGUUGGAUUCACUAUUUGCGUUUUUGUACUUUAAAUGACUACUUGUGGAUUUGAAUGAUUGUAACCAUGACUGACAUUUAUUUGGGUAUUCGUAACCAGGGGUAUUGUUAUAUUUAGAGUAUUAUAACUUUUGGGCUCUUAGUAC